CUCUAUGAGAAGCGAAGCCCACAACGCGACCCCAGGUCAGGCGGGGCUACCCGCUGAGUUUAAGCAUAUCAAUAAGCGGAGGA
rnacentral:rRNA from 1 species